ACGCGCUGGAGUUUUGUCCCUCUGAGGGAUUUAAACCAAAUAUUCUUGGGGACAAUAAACCCAGCAGCUGAUUCUGAAGAUUUGCACAAAACUGAUAUCCUGCCUGAAACAGGAAACCUGAGCAAGAUUCAUUUCCUUGUCCCUACUCUGAGGGGAGCGACCAAACCAUCACCCUGAUUUUAAGCAGCAUCUGUUCUCCUGGCACUCGGCUUGGCCAGAUCCAGAGGGGAACAUGGGGAAUGCUGGAGGCAGCAGUGAACUGGACAAGCACCUGAAGAACCUGACCCCCUCAUUUCUGAUGGCAAGUGAGAGGAAACACCAUGAGGAUGAGGGACCUGGCCACAAACCCGACAUUAAUGUGGCUUUUCUCUGGCCUUGGAUGAGCAGUGCUGCCCUGCACUUUGGCUGCUCAGUGAUAAGAGUGAACUCUGGGAGUAAAGCCCCUCAGGAAGGGCUUUCACUCGCUCUUCCCAUCUUAACAACCAGCUUUUUGCAUCAAAACCUGGCAGGGAGUGAAGAGGCCAGUGAGGAGCUGAGGCCAGUCACCACUGGCAAGGAUUCCACAGGAAUGCGCAAUUUGCCUGGUAAAGGAAGAACUUCCCUGGAUUAGUCACAGCAACUGCCCUGGGUUAUUCACAGGAACUUCCCCAGGUACCCACACCACCUGUGCUCUGCUGGCUGCUUUGAUUCCAGCUCUGCUUGCCCUGCACUGUUAAAUUGUCACAGAGCCUUGUAAACAGGAGCUCCCGGUUCCCUCGGAGUGGCGCGAGCAAACUAACAUCAUAACAGGAGUGUUUAUGGAAAAAUGCUCAAGCACUGAAGCAGAAAGGGCUUAGCACUGAUCAGACCUCUCUCCCACCUUUAUUCUUCGCCAUCCACAUUGAAAUGCAAAUACCAGCGCCGGGUUUCCACCAGCGUGCCACUCACAAAUUGAAAAGCAGUUUUUAUCUAUGCAAAUGUAAGCAUGGUAAUUGAAGUUAAUCAAUCAAUGCUAGCUUUCACUAAAACCUUGAACAUGAUUGAAUAAAGUAAUUAUCAUUCAGCAGAAAAUGA